UACGUAGGGUGCAAGCGUUGUCCGGAAUUAUUGGGCGUAAAGAGCUCGUAGGCGGUCUGUCGCGUCUGCUGUGAAAAUCCAGGGCUCAACCCUGGACCUGCAGUGGGUACGGGCAGACUAGAGUGCGGUAGGGGAGAUCGGAAUUCCUGGUGUAGCGGUGGAAUGCGCAGAUAUCAGGAAGAACACCAACGGCGAAGGCAGCUCGCUGGGACGGUACUGACGCUGAGACGCGAAAGCGUGGGGAGCGAACAGG
rnacentral:rRNA from 1 species